ACUUUGAACUUUUCUAUAGAGUUUGAACAUUUGGUACGUUUCAAAUGCCAUUAUAGGACUUCAAGGGCAGCGUCGUGUCUGAAAACGUAAAAUGUUCAAGUUCUCGAUGCAGAAAAUGCGAGUAUUUUGCCAACAUUGAAAACGGAGAGGAUUAUUUCAAUGUACACAAGAUAAGACGGAUUAACAACGAGUUCGCCGUCUUUCCCGAAGUCGAGGAAUCAAUUCCUGAUGCUAGAUGCGUGGAUGGGGCUGGAACGUUCAUGUAUCGACUUUACAAUGCAGCUGGUCGUUGCCAUAACUACGAAGUCAAAAACUGUCAAGUGAAUUGCGCAUGCUCAGUUGAUAUCUUUAAUAAUUUGUUAGUAAGCAAGUUAUCUACUCCCUAAUUGAUUCUAAUAAAUGCAGUUGGUCAUUUCCAUGAUCGUUUACUCAGACAAUUGGUCAAAUAGACUUUGCUUGUACUGCGCAUUUCCAAGCGUACUGCGCAUGCUCAGAUGAUUUUGCGUACAUUUAUGUGACCAAACGAUUUAAUCACUCAGAAAGCGAUGAAAAUAGAUCCAGCUUGUCGUUACCAUGACUAUGAAACUGAAAAAUUUGUCAAAUGGACUGUGCAGACUCAUGAAGUUUAAAGCCUAGUGCCAAACACUAAUAUAUGGGGCCAUCUGUGGUUUUAUUAUUUAACCGCAUAACACUGUGAUUUUCCCUGAUUUAUUAAAUAACCAAUUUCUUA